CCGGACCGAUUGGACGCGUUUGAGCGCUUGGCCAGCAGCAACGCUAGUACUUUCCACUCGGGGCUACGCGUGCGCGUCUCUGCAAAGUCACAGGCAAAGACAAUCGAAAAGCCAAAAGCCAGAGGUAAACGCAAACACAAAGUAACAACUUCGAGGCUCGAAAUUACCGGUUUUUCGCCAGCAAUCGCCGCUCUCUGUGAAUUUUUAGCGCGCGGUCUUUCCUUUGGCCUGCUCUUUUUUCCGAAAAGUGCGUUGGCUUUUCCUAGAGCAACCACCCCCCUGCGUGGAAAAAAAUAGCCCAGCUUACCGGUCGGGUUUAUGGCCGCAGUCUGUUUACUAUAUAUCACGCACGGAAUUCCCGGGAAUCAAAAUAGUUAAAUUGAGUUAAAACAGUGCUAAAGUGAGGCCAGCCACCCUGGCGAGUGCUAAUUAUAAUAUAUUGUGUUGAUAGUACAAACACAAGGUGCAAGAGGAAAACACGGAUGCGCGAUUUUAAAUGCCAUAUUCCAUAUACAUAUGAUAAAUAUUUAACAAUGCAGCCGUGCAGCUAAAGCGGAUUAUUGGCCACCGACGCGUGGAAUUCGCGAGGCAGAGCAAACAAAGGCCUGCCUGGCCAUCGCAUCAACUCGAGGAAAUACAGAUGGCCACGCCCACAGCACCGCCCACCGAUGAUAAUUGAAUAGGAGCAUUAAUUGCACUGUGGUUUGUUGGUUCUCGCACCACACCCACUCACACACACACAUCUUAAACCAAACACACACAUCGACCGUAAGAGUCAUGCAGAUGGGGCACUCCCCUCGAAGGCCCCUGGGCCUGGGGCUCCUUGUGCUGCCCCUGCUCCUGGUGCUCCUGAUGCAAUCAAUUCUCGUCGAGAGCUACCUGAUUAUCGUGCACGAGGACACGCCCCCUGGCACCGUCAUUUUCAACGCCUCCGUCUACAAGCUGGGCUCCGAGCGGCACUACAAGAUCAAUGCCCACAAGUCGGCGAACUUUGUGCACCACCUGGUCUCGGUGAGCCACAAGGAUGGGCAGAUUCAGCUGAGGAAGGCCCUCAAGUGCGACGGCAUCUACUACCCCAAUCUGUUCACCUUCUAUGUGGACUCCACCUCCAAUCGACUGAGGAGCAUAGACUAUUACAGCCUGCCUGUGAGGAUCUUCGUCUCGGGGCACAGCUGCAACGAGGACAGGAGGAUUGAGCAGGAGCUGCACCACCAUCACUACGAGGAGGAGGACAACACGGGCUACUCGAAGCGCAGGAGGAGGAGAUCCACCCAGGAAAUAAUCCAGCUGGAUGGCAAUCAGCUGGAUGGCAAUCAGCUGGAGCAGGCUUUCCGCCAGAACAGCACGGAGUUCCGAGCCGGGGAUCUGAUCUUCGGCGACAGCUUCGACAAUGAGAUGAGGCACAGGAUACUCAACAGGAAGCGGAGAGCAGUGGGCUCACCGGAUCCGCUGCACCUGCAGCCCGCCCUGCACCGCCGGAUCUCGGAUGCCAAGCAGUGGAUCUCGGAGACCUAUGCCUCCUAUGCCAUACACACCACCGACAAGUGGAACCAGAUCUGCCUGAGGCGGUCGCAGUUCAUCAACAGCCUGAAUGCCUUCCUGCCGCGCUCCGUUUGCCAGCACUGCAAGGUGAGUUUCCUGGACGUGAACGACGAGCGCUUCGCCAUCGAGCACCAGAGCCGGGAUCUGGUGGCCAGCAGGGAUGUGUGCAUCGCCGAGUCCAUGUGGAAGGUCAGCAUCACCUUCAACAUUCGGUGCGACCGAAGGGAUAUCGUGGACUCGGACCACCGGCUGAAGAUCGUGUACCACCAUCAGGAGUUUAACGACACGGAUAUCGCUCGAAGGGUGCGAAGGGAGCUGCGGAAUCAGUCGCCCUACUUCGAACAGGCCCUCUAUGUGGCCUCCGUCCUGGAGGAGCAACCUGCGGGCGCUGCGGUGACCACUGUGCGUGCCCGCGAUCCUGAGGAUUCCCCCGUGGUCUACUCCAUGGUCUCUCUGCUGGACUCCCGCUCCCAGUCGCUGUUUAAGGUGGAUUCCCGGACUGGCGUGGUCACCACCUCGGCCAGUCUGGAUCGAGAGCUCAUGGACGUGCACUACUUCCGUGUGGUUGCCACCGAUGAUAGCUUUCCACCGCGAUCUGGGACGACGACGCUGCAGGUGAACGUCCUGGACUGCAAUGACCACAGUCCCACCUUCGAGGCGGAACAGUUCGAGGCGAGUAUCCGGGAAGGGGCCACCGUGGGAUCCACUGUCAUUACGCUGCGGGCCACCGAUCAGGAUAUUGGCAAGAAUGCGGAAAUCGAGUAUGGAAUUGAGGCAGUGACUGAUGGCGCCGGCUUGACGCAGGACCAGGAAAUGCCCAUCUUCCGCAUCGACUCCCGUUCGGGCGUGAUCUCGACGAGGAGCAGCCUGGACCGGGAGACCUCGGACAGCUACCACCUGUUGGUGACCGCUGCGGACAUGGCAUCAGCCCAAAGUGAACGCAGGACGGCCACAGCCAGUGUCCAGGUGAAGGUCCUCGACGACAACGACAACUACCCGCAGUUCAGUGAACGCACCUAUACGGUCCAAGUGCCCGAGGAUCAGUGGGGUGGCAGCGAGGACAACACCGUGGCCCACAUCCGAGCGACGGAUGCGGAUCAGGGCAACAAUGCAGCCAUACGAUAUGCCAUCAUCGGCGGGAAUACCCAGUCGCAGUUCUCCAUCGACUCGAUGUCGGGUGAUGUCAGCCUGGUGAAGCCGCUGGACUACGAAAGUGUGCGCAGCUACAGGCUGGUGAUUCGCGCCCAGGACGGAGGCAGUCCCUCCAGAAGCAACACCACCCAGCUGCUGGUGAACGUCAUCGAUGCGAACGACAAUGCCCCGAGGUUCUACACCUCGCAGUUCCAGGAGAGUGUCCUCGAGAAUGUCCCAGUUGGGUAUAACAUCAUUCGGGUGCAGGCCUACGACUCCGACGAAGGUGCCAAUGCAGAGAUUACCUAUAGUAUUUCGGAAAGGGAUGACAACUUUCCGCUGGCCGUGGAUCCCCGAACCGGUUGGGUGCAGACCAUCAAGCCACUGGAUCGCGAGGAGCAGGGUCGCUUUGCCUUCCAGGUGGUGGCCAAGGAUGGUGGUGUCCCUCCCAAGUCGGCCAGCUCUUCGGUGGUGAUCACGGUGCAGGAUGUAAACGAUAACGACCCGGCUUUCAACCCAAAGUACUACGAGGCAAAUGUGGGAGAGGACCAACCACCAGGCACUCCAGUUACCACAGUCACCGCCACAGAUCCCGAUGAGGAUUCCCGCCUGCACUACGAGAUCACGACGGGCAACACUAGAGGACGCUUUGCGAUCACCUCCCAGAACGGAAGAGGACUCAUAACCAUCGCCCAGUCACUGGACUACAAGCAGGAGAAGCGCUUCCUGCUCACUGUGGCGGCCACCGAUUCUGGAGGACGUUCCGAUACGGCCACGGUGCAUAUAAACAUUACGGAUGCCAACAACUUUGCUCCUAUCUUCGAGAAUGCUCCUUAUAGCGCGUCUGUAUUUGAAGAUGCCCCUGUGGGCACCACCGUUCUGGUGGUAUCCGCCACCGACAGCGAUGUGGGAGUAAAUGCUCAGAUCACCUACUCCCUGAACGAGGAGAGCAUCAAUGGAUUGGGCAGUCCGGAUCCCUUUUCGAUCAACGCUCAGACGGGUGCGAUUGUGACGAAUGCCCCGCUGGAUCGGGAGACCACCAGUGGAUACCUACUCACGGUGACGGCAAAGGAUGGGGGUAAUCCCUCGUUGAGUGACACCACCGAUGUGGAGAUCGGAGUGACGGAUGUGAAUGAUAAUGCCCCUGCUUUCAAGAGCCCGCUGUAUCAGGCUUCCAUUCUGGAAGAUGCUCUCGUGGGAACCUCGGUGAUCCAGGUGGCAGCCAGUGAUCCCGAUGUGGGGCUCAAUGGACGGAUCAAAUACCUGCUGAGUGACCGUGAUGUGGAGGAUGGUUCCUUUGUAAUCGAUCCCACUUCUGGUACCAUUCGCACGAAUAAGGGUCUGGAUAGGGAGAGUGUGGCUGUCUUUCAUCUAACCGCCAUUGCCGUGGACAAGGGAUCACCACCGCUAUCAAGCACCGUGGAGGUGCAAAUCCGUUUGGAGGACGUUAAUGAUUCACCACCGACCUUCGCCUCAGACAAGAUCACACUCUAUGUGCCAGAGAAUUCGCCGGUGGGCUCCGUGGUGGGUGAGAUCCAUGCCCACGAUCCCGACGAGGGCGUCAACGCAGUGGUUCACUAUUCCAUUAUCGGCGGAGACGACUCCAAUGCGUUUUCCCUGGUCACCCGACCGGGUUCCGAGAGAGCCCAACUGCUGACCAUGACGGAACUGGACUACGAGUCCACCCGCAAGCGAUUUGAGUUGGUGGUAAGGGCAGCAAGUCCUCCACUGCGAAACGAUGCCCACAUCGAGAUCCUGGUCACGGAUGUCAAUGAUAAUGCCCCAGUGCUGCGAGACUUUCAGGUGAUAUUCAACAACUUCCGCGAUCACUUCCCCAGUGGAGAGAUCGGAAGGAUUCCAGCCUUCGAUGCGGAUGUGAGUGACAAGCUGCACUACAGGAUCCUGUCGGGAAACAAUGCCAACCUCCUUCGCUUGAACAGUAGCUCGGGAGGAUUGGUGCUGAGUCCCCAGCUGAACACCAAUGUGCCCAAGUUCGCCACCAUGGAGGUGUCCGUAUCCGAUGGCAUCAACGAGGCCAAGGCCAUCAUGCAGCUCUCGGUUCGCCUGAUCACCGAGGAUAUGCUCUUCAAUUCGGUGACGGUGCGUUUGAACGAGAUGACCGAGGAGGCCUUCCUGUCACCCCUGCUAAACUUUUUCCUGGACGGACUGGCUGCCAUUAUUCCCUGCCCCAAGGAGCACAUUUUCGUCUUCAGCAUCCAAGAUGAUACGGAUGUCAGCUCACGAAUUCUAAAUGUCAGCUUCUCUGCUCGACGACCUGAUGUCUCCCACGAGGAGUUCUACACGCCGCAGUAUCUUCAGGAGAGGGUCUACUUGAAUAGGGCCAUCCUUGCCCGCCUGGCCACCGUUGAGGUUCUGCCCUUUGACGACAAUCUCUGCGUGCGGGAACCCUGCCUGAACUUCGAGGAGUGUCUGACUGUCCUGAAGUUCGGCAAUGCCUCCGAGUUCAUCCACAGCGAUACGGUACUUUUCAGACCCAUCUAUCCGGUGAAUACGUUUGCCUGCUCCUGUCCCGAGGGAUUUACUGGCAGCAAGGAGCACUACCUGUGCGACACGGAGGUGGACCUGUGCUACUCAGAUCCCUGCCAGAACGGAGGAACCUGUGUGCGGCGCGAAGGGGGCUAUACGUGUGUCUGCCCAUCUUCGCAUACUGGCUUGAAUUGCGAGACUGGAGUGGGUCAACUGCGUCCUUGCCCCUCGGAAACUUGCGAGGGUGGCUUAUCCUGCCUGAGCAGUUACCCCAGUUCCCAACCUCCGCCAUACACGGCCACCUGUGAGCUGAGGGCACGCUCCUUCGGACGCAACUCCUUCCUGACCUUCGAGAGUCUGAAGCAGAGGCAUCGCUUCAAUCUCAAGCUCCGCUUUGCCACCGUCCAGGAGAAUGGAUUGCUCCUCUACAAUGGAAGGUACAACGAGCUGCACGACUUUAUUGCCCUGGAGAUCCAUGAGGGUCAUGUGAGCUUCUCCUUCUCGCUGGGCGACCACAGCGAAAGGGUAUCGGUGAUGCAGGAAUCCAUGGUCUCCGAUGGGAAGUGGCACCAGGUGGAGGUGGUCUACCUGAACAGGACUGUCACCUUGGUGCUGGACGAUUGCGACACGGCCAUUGCUCUGUCAGGACAACUGGGGGACAGGUGGAGCUGCGCCAAUCGCACCACCUUGAAGUUGGACAAGCGUUGCUCCCUGCUCACGGAGACCUGUCAUCGCUUCCUGGAUCUCACGGGACCAUUACAAGUGGGCGGACUUCCCCGCAUCCCAGCCCACUUUCCUGUUGCCAAUCGGGACUUUGUGGGCUGCAUCUCGGACCUCCGCAUCGACGAUCGAUAUGUAGAUCUCAACUCUUACGUGGCGGAUAAUGGAACUCUGGCGGGCUGUCAGCAAAAGGCUCCACUUUGCCAAUCGGAGCCGUGUUUCAAUGGUGGCACCUGUCGCGAGGGCUGGAGCACCUACUCCUGCGAGUGUCCCGAGGGAUAUGCUGGUAACAGCUGCCAGGACAAUAUCCCGGCUCCCUGGCGCUUCUCAGGAGAUGGCAGUCUCAGCUUCAAUCCCCUCCUGCGACCCAUCCAACUGCCCUGGACCACUUCCUUCUCCCUGCGAACGCGUCAGAAGGAGGCCUUCCUGCUCCAAAUCCAAAUCGGACAAAACAGUUCGGCGGCGGUUUGUCUGAGGCAGGGGGUCCUGUACUACAUUUUCGAUGGCGAACCCAUGUUUCUGGCCGGUGCCUUUCUCUCCGAUGGAGAAUGGCACAGAGUGGAGAUUCGCUGGCAGCAGGGCUCUGAAAUCCACUUCUCUGUGGACUACGGACAACGAUCUGGUUCGGUGCCCAUGUCGCAGAAGGUCCAAGGACUCUAUGUGGGCAAGAUAGUAAUGGGCAGUCCGGAUGGUAGCAUUGGAUCGGUUCCGGAGGCAUCUCCCUUUGAGGGCUGCAUCCAGGAUGUGCGCAUUGGAGCGGGUCAGUCGGUUCUCUCCCGCCCAACUAUCCGGGAAAAUGUGGAGGAUGGCUGCGAGUCACGGGCCCAGUGCCCAGAUCACUGUCCCAAUCACUCCUCCUGCCAGAGCACCUGGGACCAUUCCACCUGUGAGUGUGAUGCAGGCUAUGUGGGUGCCGACUGUGCUCCCAUCUGCACGGUGAGACCCUGUGCCUCUGGGGUAUGCAGGGCCAAUACCAGUUUAUCCCGAGGAUACGGAUGCGAGUGCAACAGCAGCUCGCGACAUGGGGACUACUGUGAGAGGGAACUCCAGCAACCGUGCCCCGGAGGCUGGUGGGGAGAAAGGGUGUGUGGUCCGUGCCGAUGCGACCUGGCCCAGGGCUACCAUCCAGAUUGCAACAAGACCAACGGGCAGUGCUACUGCAAGACAAACCACUACCAACCGCCUAACGAGACCGCCUGCCUCUCCUGCGAUUGCUACUCCAUCGGCAGCUUCAGUGGAGCCUGCAACCCGCUGACAGGUCAAUGUGAGUGCCGCGAGGGAGUUAUCGGUCGGCGAUGCGACUCCUGCUCGAAUCCAUAUGCCGAGGUCACCCUCAGUGGCUGCGAGGUGGUCUACGAUGCAUGUCCGCGCUCCUUUGCCGGCGGCGUCUGGUGGCCACGUACUCCUCUCGGUGGGGUGGCCAUCGAGGGAUGUCCCGCGCCGGCUCGUGGAAAGGGACAACGCAGCUGCGAUGCCCAGUCGGGAAGUUGGAACACCCCGGACAUGUACAACUGCACCUCGGAGCCCUUUGUGGAGCUGCGGCGCCAGCUGUCCCAGCUGGAGAAACUGGAACUUGAGCUUAACUCCUUUGUGGCCAUCAAGAUGGCGGAGCAGCUGAGGAAGGCCUGCGAGACGGUGGACAGAAGAGGUGCUAGCAAGGAUCAGAAGGCACCGGGAAGUGGUCGCCCCAACAGGCGGUACAAAAUGGAAUCCUCCUUCCUGCUCAGCAAUGGCGCGAAUGUCUGGUCCCACGAGCUCGAGAUGGACUACCUCUCCGAUGAGCUGAAGUUCAGCCAUGAUCGUCUCUAUGGCGCCGAUCUCCUGGUCACUGAGGGUCUUCUACAGGAGUUGAUCAACUACGAGCUCAUGCAGAGCGGCCUGAAUCUAUCCCACAGUCAGGACAAGUACUUCAUCAAGAACCUGGUGGACGCGGCUAGUGUUAUUUUGGACAGAAAGUACGAGGCGGAGUGGAGGAGGGCCACGGAACUGAUUCAGAGGGGUCCCGACGAUCUGGUGGAUGCCUUCAACAAGUACCUAGUGGUUCUGGCUCGCUCCCAGCACGACACCUACACCAGUCCCUUUGAGAUCGUGCAGCCCAACAUGGCUCUUGGCCUGGACAUUGUGACCACUGAAUCACUGUUCGGCUAUGAGCCGGAGCAGCUGAGUGAGUACCAUCGGAGCAAGUACCUCAAGCCGAAUGCCUUCACCACCGAGAGUGUGGUGCUGCCCGACACCAGUGGCUUCCUGCAGCACUCGGCUCGCCAGCGUCCAGUGAUCAGCUUUCCCAAGUACAACAACUAUAUCCUGGAUCGCAGAAAGUUCGAUCAGCACACUAAGGUCCUUGUACCCUUGGAGAUGCUGGGGAUAACUCCACCGGAUAGCGAUGAGAUCUCACAGAGUGGACGGAGAGGAGGAAGCCAUGACCAUCGGGCCAUCGUGGCUUAUGCGCAAUACAAGGAUGUGGGUCAGCUGCUGCCCGAUCUGUACGAUGAGACAAUCACUCGCCGCUGGGGUGUGGACGUGGAACUGGCCACUCCCAUUCUCUCCCUGCAGAUUCUGGUGCCCUCAAUGGAGAGGGACACUCAGGAGAUACAACGCAUGGAAAUUCCACCCAGGAAAAUCUCUUCAUCCUCAUCAUCUUCUUCUUCUGGUAGCACAGAGCAACAGUUUGUGGAGGUCUUCGAUGUGCCUAAAGCUCCAAGCAGCAGUAGUGAGCAGCAGAUUGAGGAUAUAAGGAUCACAGCCCAUGAGAUUCCACCGCCAGUUUCCUCAGGGGAACAACUGGAAGCCUCGAGUGGUGAAGACGGUGAGGAGCGGGAACCACACAUCCGUCUGAAUCUCGACGACAUUGAGUUCCAUGGCAACUCCGGCGAGGAGGUAAUAUCCCCGGAUUCCCCUGAGGUGCUUAAUCCAAACUACGAAGGCGUCAGUUCCACGGGAAGCGAUGAGCAGCCUAAAGGCGAAAACGAGGCGGUUUACAGGGAUCGCCGUUUGGUCAAACGGCAAGUGGAGGUCACUUAUCCCUCGGAGCAAAUGCAGCAAUCCGAGCAGGUGGUCUAUCGCUCCCUAGGCUCGCCUCAUCUGGCGCAACCCAUAAAGCUGCAGAUGUGGCUGGAUGUGGAUGCCGCCCGCUUUGGACCCCGCUCUAACCCCCAGUGCGUCCGCUGGAACUCCUUCACCAAUCAGUGGACUCGACUUGGUUGCCAGACGGAGAUCCCCGACUUUGAUGGAGACUUUAACCCGGCGACACAGCCAGCGAUCCUGGUAAACUGCAGCUGCACCCAUAUAUCAAGCUAUGCUGUGAUUGUGGAUGUAAUCGAUCCUGAGGACAUCCCGGAGCCCUCGCUUCUGGUGCAGAUCACCUCUUACUCGGCCUUUCUGGUUUCACUUCCCCUGCUGCUGGGAGUGCUCUUGGCUCUGGCCCUUCUACGUGGUCAGCAAACCAACUCGAACACCAUCCACCAGAACAUCGUGCUCUGCGUCUUCUGCGCGGAGCUGCUCUUCUUCGUGGGAAUGCAGUCGCGCCGGCAGCUCCUGGAAAGCGAGUUCCCCUGCAAAUUGACGGCCAUCUGCCUGCACUACUUCUGGCUGGCGGCCUUCGGCUGGACCACGGUGGACUGCGUCCAUCUCUACAGGAUGCUCACCGAGAUGCGGGACAUCAACCACGGACCCAUGGGCUUCUACUUCGCCAUGGGCUACGGCGCUCCAGCCAUCGUCGUCGGACUUUCCGUUGGCGUUCGGGCUCAUGAGUACGGAAAUAGCUUGUUCUGCUGGUUGUCGGUCUACGAACCCGUGGUGUGGUGGCUAGUGGGUCCCAUUGCGGGCAUGUCAGUGGUAAACCUGCUCAUCCUGUUCGUCUCCGUCAAGGCCGCCUUCACCCUCAAGGAUCACGUCCUCGGAUUUGGCAACCUGCGAACCCUACUCUGGCUGUCGGUGGUGUCGCUCCCUCUGAUGGGUGUGAUGUGGGUCCUGGCAGUGCUCGCCGCAUCGGAGCAUUCUCAGCUGCUGAGCCUCCUGCUUUCGGGAGUGGUUCUGCUCCAUGCUCUCUUCUGCCUCAUUGGCUACUGCAUCAUCAACAAGCGGGUGAGGGAGAACCUCCAGCGCACCUGCCUGCGCUGCAUGGGCCGCAAGGUUCCGCUCCUAGACUCUUCCAUGGUGGUCAGCAACAGCUCCCACAAUGUGAACGGAGCGGCGAGGCCGAGUAACUUCCUAGCAGGAGGAUACGAUACCACCACCCGGCGGAACAUAGGCAUCAGUGCGAGUAGCACCACCUCGAGGAGUACGGCCAAGACGAGUUCCAGUCCUUAUAGCGAUGGCCAGCUAAGGCAGACCUCCACAUCCACCUCGAACUACAAUUCAGCCAGCGAUGCCCCCAGUUUCUUGAGGGGAUUCGAGUCCUCCACCACGGGAAGAAGUAGGGGUGGCGAGGAGAAGCCAUCACGACGCCAGAGGAAGGACUCAGACUCGGGCUCCGAAACGGACGGAAGAUCCCUGGAACUGGCCAGCAGUCACUCCAGCGACGAUGACGAGUCCCGCACAGCUCGAUCCUCUGGAACACAUCGCAGCACGGCCGUGAGUUCGACACCCGCCUAUCUGCCCAACAUCACGGAGCACGUGCAGGCCACCACUCCGCCGGAGCUGAAUGUGGUGCAGAGUCCCCAGCUCUUUCCGAGUGUCAGCAAACCCGUGUACGCACCCCGUUGGUCCAGUCAGCUGCCCGAUGCCUAUCUGCAGUCUCCUCCAAACAUUGGACGCUGGUCCCAGGACACGGGAUCGGAUAACGAACAUGUCCACGGGCAGGCCAAGAUGACCAUCUCGCCGAACCCGCUGCCCAAUCCCGAUCUCACGGACACCAGCUACCUGCAGCAGCACCACAACAAAAUCAACAUGCCACCCUCUAUCCUGGAGAACAUUCGAGAUGCCCGCGAUGGCUACGAAGACAGUCUGUACGGGAGGAGGGGAGAGUAUCCGGAUAAGUACGGCUCCUACAAGCCACCCAGUCACUAUGGCAGCGAGAAGGAUUACCCGGGCGGAGGAAGUGGCUCCCAGACCAUUGGUCACAUGCGGAGUUUCCACCCGGAUGCCGCCUACCUGAGUGACAACAUAUACGACAAGCAGCGGACGCUGGGAAGUGGCUACCUGGGCACCAAGUCGGAGUCGCCCUACCUCUCCAAGGAUCGGAUUACACCGGAUAUCUAUGGAUCCCGGGAUGGUCACUAUAGCCUCAAGAGGCAGCCAGCUUAUGCCACGGACUCGCUGCACUCGGUGCACUCCCUGCUGAAGAACGAUUACCACCAGCAGCAGCAACAGCAGCAGCAGCAGCAACUGCAGCAGCACCAUUUGCAGGACAGGCUGUCCGAGGGCUCGGAUAAGAAUGGCUACCACUUUCCCUACACCGCCGAAGAGGACCAUCUGCCCGCCAGGAAGCUGAGCCACACUCAGCCGCCCUCGUUGCAUGGAUCCCAGCUGAUGCAGCCACCUGGCCUGGGGCUGGUCAACGAUGUAAACAAUCCGGGAUUAAUCGCGAGGCAUCCUCUGAAUGGAGGCUCCCGACACAGCUCCAGAGCCUCCUCGCCGCCCUCCAGCAUGGUGGCGCCCAUGCAGCCACUGGGGCCACUGACCAGCAUCACGGACACUGACUGGUCCUGGGAACGUUUGAAGCAAAUCUAAUUUGACUAUCUUUCACUUCUAUUUCCUCCAAUACCGUGCUUUCUCUCUCUCUUGCUCCUCGGAAACUUAACCCAAACACACACAUACGCAUACCGCAAACACACACACUAAUAACCGAAAAAAAAAUCCAUCUGCAAAAUGAAAUUCGACGUAAUGCAAAAUACUACGGCGGCUCGCAUUGUAUCCAUCCAAAACCCAAAAACUCAACCAACUCAAACAACAUCAACAACCACACCACAACCAACUACAACUACAACUACAAUAACUACAACAACUACAACUACAGCUCAGAGGUAAACCACAAGUAAAAUGCAUUUUCAAGUCGCACAUCACAUUUCCCAUUUUCCCACUUUUCAUCAUCGUCUUCGUUUACGUUUUUUGUUCGAUUUCCGUAGCUAAAGUGUGCAUAAAACUGAUUCGAUUCGAUUCGAGCUCUUUAACUAACUCCAAAGUGCACCAUUUUUAAUUUGAUUUGGAUUUGACCAGUUGAAUGUAAAUAUGAGACAUUGAUUUAUGUUUUACUUGGCCGCCCCCCGAAUGUCUGUUUAUUAGUUUGAUUAAUCGAAUCUGUUGGAUAUCUCACUUUCUAAUUUGUAAUCCGAAUGUUCGAACGCCGUGCUGCAUUUAAUUGGAACGUGUAACAUUGAAUUUACGCCUUUAUGACAUUUAUUAAUUCCCAUUCGACAACCGUAUACAUCGAUCCAUCAAUCCAUCCCACACUUUCACCCGCCACAAGAACAGACCUUAUAUAUACAAUACAACCUGAACAUCUCCACAGUUCGACAUUAUUUGGCUGCAUCGCAGGCAACAGAGGCAACAGUAUCCCUGGUCGCUAACAAUAUGGCGGAAUAUUGAUGAUGACGAGACCACAGUGUGACGACUGACCCAGCAGCAAAAGCAGCAGCAGCAGCAGCGGCAGCAACAGUUGAAGCUGCAACAAAAGCAGCAGCAGCACCUGCAACACCUGCAACACCUGCAACACUUGCAGCAGCAACGCACCAAACAGCAACAGCAAACGCAGUACUUUGCCACCAUUAGACGCAAGCCGCAGUACAGGAUCCACACGGACGACUGAGGUCCUGCGUCGUCGGCAUCCAUAGCAUACCCUGCGGGGGGCACCUGCCAUAGGUCCACCAUCCAUUCGAAACCUUGUACAUACCAAGCACCCACUUAAUUUUACGUAAUCACCGCUUAGUACGCCCACAAUAGAGGGGCAUAAAUAUUUAUACGAUCCCUUAGCAUUUACAUAAUUUAAAGCGCCAGUUGCAUUUCGUUCGGCACGGCAUAAUUAUGCACAGCCAGCAGGCACACGGAAAUACUCAGCUUUCGGCCCUGCGUAUGUAUUAUAAAUUAUAAUAGAUGAUUAUGUAUUAAAACAAGAGUCAGACUGAUUUUAUGCAUUUUACGUUCUGCUAUUUACACUUAAGCCCCACUCGAAACAUUCAGCCAGCAUUUAGGUCCAAUUAUGUCCGACCCCUAAUACCAAUAUGGGUUCGAAGAGCAUUAUUAGCUAGAGCAAACUGCGAGUAAACAAAGUCUAGAAGGUAGGAGAACAUUGUGUGUGCCUCGAGCUUAUUAUGCCAAAUUAGUUGAAGUCCACGGGGGAACUUGUAAAUGAAAGUAAUCAUUUGCCCAGCAUCCGCACACUUUGCCAUUUAGUUCGGGAGUUAGUUUUAGUCGAUAGCCCUAGCCAUCCCUACCAGUGUUGCGAAUGUACCAUACGAAAGUCUCAAUAAAGUAAGUUCAGGACACCCGCACGUAUCUUUGGGAAAUAUGAAUGUAAAACUCACAAGCGCAGCAGCAAUAUAGUUAUAUACUCGAAUACAUAUAUCUGUCUAUAAUAUAUCGAAGAACCGGCUGGCAGCAGCUCGCCCAGCAGUUGAUCCCCAGUCAGCAAUAGCCACUCGAGACCCUGAGAAACCGUGUACAAUCUAUAAAUAAUUCAUGGGCGGAACUUGCUGCAUUUGAACUCCACUCAACUGCCACUUGCGCUUGAACGUGGCACACAAUACAUGAUAUUUAUGUGAAUUGACUUAUUUAAUUGUAAAUUAUACAACUAUAUCAAUAUGAAUAAAAUGUGUAAAGUAUAUGGAGAAAAAUAA